rnacentral:rRNA from 1 species
GUGUCAGCAGCCGCGGUAAUACGUAGGGGGCAAGCGUUGUCCGGAAUUACUGGGCGUAAAGAGCUCGUAGGUGGUUUGUCGCGUCGUCUGUGAAAUUCCGGGGCUUAACCUCGGGCGUGCAGGCGAUACGGGCAAUACUUGAGUGCUGUAGGGGAGACUGGAAUUCCUGGUGUAGCGGUGAAAUGCGCAGAUAUCAGGAGGAACACCGAUGGCGAAGGCAGGUCUCUGGGCAGUAACUGACGCUGAGGAGCGAAAGCAUGGGUAGCGAACAGGAUUAGAUACCCUCGUAGUCC